GAUCUUUUCUUGCUACUACUCAGUCAAGAAAACUGAAGCCUGGCUUAAACAAGGAAAUACUGAAACAGUAUAAAUCUAUCUUCUUCCAAAGUGGAGCAAGCAUAACGGAGAAAAUACUUGCUCUUUGAAAAUUAGGAGCUCUUCCCUGUUCUCCAACACGCACUGUGUUUACGUUUUAAAAACCAAGACAACUUUCCCUACCCAACUUUUUUCAGCCCUCCUGAUUUUUCAGAGUCCAGAUCCUUCCCUCUACUUCUCCUCUUCAACCUUCCAGUCCAAAUUUAAAGCAGGAGGUAAACUGUUUUCCUCUUUGAUACCACUAUCCAAUCCCUACAAACUUGGAAUGGGACUUCCUAAUACCUUUCUACAGAGAACCAUGAUCUUUAAUAAUCAGUCCAUUGCACUUGUGAACUGGAAUUAGUCUGAUGGUUUAAAUAAAUUUCUUCACUGAAGAAUGUUCAUCGCUUACUAAAUUUAUGAGAUGUUUUACAUCAACCUGUUCAACUUUUCAAGGCUGGGAUUCAGAAAGCAAGACUCAAGAUGAGAAACUCAGCUACUAUACUUCAACUGACCUGAUAUACAGAAAGAACAAUACUUCCUGAAAGUUUUCCAGCAGAGUGCUUUUUCUCUUUAACUUGGCUUUCAGUGUAAUUUACCUGUUAAAAAUAAACUUAACUGAACACUGA